GAUGAACGCUGGCGGCGUGCCUAAUACAUGCAAGUCGAGCGAACGGACGAGAAGCUUGCUUCUCUGAUGUUAGCGGCGGACGGGUGAGUAACACGUGGAUAACCUACCUAUAAGACUGGGAUAACUUCGGGAAACCGUAGCUAAUACCGGAUAAUAUUUUGAACCGCAUGGUUCAAAAGUGAAAGAGGGUCUUGCUGUCACUUAUAGAUGGUUCCGCGCUGCAUUAGCUAGUUGGUAAGGUAACGGCUUACCAAGGCAACGAUGCAUAGCCGACCUGAGAGGGUGAUCGGCCACACUGGAACUGAGACACGGUCCAGACUCCUACGGGAGGCAGCAGUAGGGAAUCUUCCGCAAUGGGCGAAAGCCUGACGGAGCAACGCCGCGUGAGUGAUGAAGGUCUUCGGAUCGUAAAACUCUGUUAUUAGGGAAGAACAUAUGUGUAAGUAACUGUGCACAUCUUGACGGUACCUAAUCAGAAAGCCACGGCUAACUACGUG
rnacentral:rRNA from 1 species